rnacentral:rRNA from 1 species
GAUGAACGCUGGCGGCGUGCCUAAUACAUGCAAGUCGAGCGAACAGAUGAGGAGCUUGCUCCUCUGACGUUAGCGGCGGACGGGUGAGUAACACGUGGAUAACCUACCUAUAAGAUUGGGAUAACUUCGGGAAACCGGAGCUAAUACCGGAUAAUAUAUUGAACCGCAUGGUUCAAUAGUGAAAGACGGUUUUGCUGUCACUUAUAGAUGGAUCCGCGCCGCAUUAGCUAGUUGGUAAGGUAACGGCUUACCAAGGCGACGAUGCGUAGCCGACCUGAGAGGGUGAUCGGCCACACUGGAACUGAGACACGGUCCAGACUCCUACGGGAGGCAGCAGUAGGGAAUCUUCCGCAAUGGGCGAAAGCCUGACGGAGCAACGCCGCGUGAGUGAUGAAGGUCUUCGGAUCGUAAAACUCUGUUAUUAGGGAAGAACAAAUGUGUAAGUAACUAUGCACGUCUUGACGGUACCUAAUCAGAAGGCCACGGCUAACUACGUG